CACAGAGGGGGCAAGCGUUGUUCGGAAUUACUGGGCGUAAAGGGCGCGUAGGCGGCCUUCUAAGUCGAACGUGAAAUCCCCGGGCUCAACCCGGGAACUGCGUCCGAUACUGGAAGGCUUGAAUCCGGGAGAGGGAUGCGGAAUUCCAGGUGUAGCGGUGAAAUGCGUAGAUAUCUGGAGGAACACCGGUGGCGAAGGCGGCAUCCUGGACCGGCAUUGACGCUGAGGCGCGAAAGCCAGGGGAGCAAACGGG
rnacentral:rRNA from 1 species